AACGGGGCUAAACCAUGCACCGAAGCUGCGGCAGCGACGCUUAUGCGUUGUUGGGUAGGGGAGCGUUCUGUAAGCCUGUGAAGGUGUGCUGUGAGGCAUGCUGGAGGUAUCAGAAGUGCGAAUGCUGACAUAAGUAACGAUAAAGCGGGUGAAAAGCCCGCUCGCCGGAAGACCAAGGGUUCCUGUCCAACGUUAAUCGGGGCAGGGUGAGUCGACCCCUAAGGCGAGGCCGAAAGGCGUAGUCGAUGGGAAACAGGUUAAUAUUCCUGUACUUGGUGUUACUGCGAAGGGGGGACGGAGAAGGCUAUGUUGGCCGGGCGACGGUUGUCCCGGUUUAAGCGUGUAGGCUGGUUUUCCAGGCAAAUCCGGAAAAUCAAGGCUGAGGCGUGAUGACGAGGCACUACGGUGCUGAAGCAACAAAUGCCCUGCUUCCAGGAAAAGCCUCUAAGCAUCAGGUAACAUCAAAUCGUACCCCAAACCGACACAGGUGGUCAGGUAGAGAAUACCAAGGCGCUUGAGAGAACUCGGGUGAAGGAACUAGGCAAAAUGGUGCCGUAACUUCGGGAGAAGGCACGCUGAUAUGUAGGUGAAGUCCCUCGCGGAUGGAGCUGAAAUCAGUCGAAGAUACCAGCUGGCUGCAACUGUUUAUUAAAAACACAGCACUGUGCAAACACGAAAGUGGACGUAUACGGUGUGACGCCUGCCCGGUGCCGGAAGGUUAAUUGAUGGGGUCAGCGCAAGCGAAGCUCUUGAUCGAAGCCCCGGUAAACGGCGGCCGUAACUAUAACGGUCCUAAGGUAGCGAAAUUCCUUGUCGGGUAAGUUCCGACCUGCACGAAUGGCGUAAUGAUGGCCAGGCUGUCUCCACCCGAGACUCAGUGAAAUUGAACUCGCUGUGAAGAUGCAGUGUACCCGCGGCAAGACGGAAAGACCCCGUGAACCUUUACUAUAGCUUGACACUGAACAUUGAGCCUUGAUGUGUAGGAUAGGUGGGAGGCUUUGAAGUGUGGACGCCAGUCUGCAUGGAGCCGACCUUGAAAUACCACCCUUUAAUGUUUGAUGUUCUAACGUUGACCCGUGAUCCGGGUUGCGGACAGUGUCUGGUGGGUAGUUUGACUGGGGCGGUCUCCUCCUAAAGAGUAACGGAGGAGCACGAAGGUUGGCUAAUCCUGGUCGGACAUCAGGAGGUUAGUGCAAUGGCAUAAGCCAGCUUGACUGCGAGCGUGACGGCGCGAGCAGGUGCGAAAGCAGGUCAUAGUGAUCCGGUGGUUCUGAAUGGAAGGGCCAUCGCUCAACGGAUAAAAGGUACUCCGGGGAUAACAGGCUGAUACCGCCCAAGAGUUCAUAUCGACGGCGGUGUUUGGCACCUCGAUGUCGGCUCAUCACAUCCUGGGGCUGAAGUAGGUCCCAAGGGUAUGGCUGUUCGCCAUUUAAAGUGGUACGCGAGCUGGGUUUAGAACGUCGUGAGACAGUUCGGUCCCUAUCUGCCGUGGGCGCUGGAGAACUGAGGGGGGCUGCUCCUAGUACGAGAGGACCGGAGUGGACGCAUCACUGGUGUUCGGGUUGUCAUGCCAAUGGCACUGCCCGGUAGCUAAAUGCGGAAGAGAUAAGUGCUGAAAGCAUCUAAGCACGAAACUUGCC
rnacentral:rRNA from 1 species